GCGCUCGCUUCAGCUGCACACAUACUCAAAUGGGAACAACACAGAGAUCGGCAUGGCCCCUGCGCAAAUUCGUGAAACGUUCCAUAUUUAG
ensembl:snRNA Gm25048 predicted gene, 25048